AUGGACUCCCCGCAGAAAGAGGCUGGAUCCACCAUGGACGGCGAGACGCGUCAUCUGCUGCUGCCUUGCCGCCGGCUGACGGACGCGGAGGAAGCCUUGGACAGCACCCUAAAGAUGGGGAUGCUGUUCUGCGGCGUGGUCCAGGCGGCCUCGGCGCUGCUGAUCCCGCGCCACCGCCGCUGGGUCCGCCGCGCCCUCGACUACCUCGCGCUCGCGCUCACCAUUGGCGGCCACUGCAUCUACGCCGCCGCAGCCCUCCUCGUGCCCGUCGCCGACCCAGGAGACGUCUACCUCAGGAUCGCCUUCGCAGUCGUCAUCGUCAUCUUCGCCGCCGGGGACAUCAUCGGCUUCCUGGCCCUCCUCCUGCUGGGAGGCGAGGCGUAG
rnacentral:rRNA from 1 species